AACGAACGCUGGCGGCGUGCCUAACACAUGCAAGUCGAGCGCGAAUGGGAGCAAUCCCUAGUAGAGCGGCGCACGGGUGCGUAACACGUGGGUAAUCUGCCCAGAAGACCGGAAUAACCUGCCGAAAGGCUGGCUAAUACCGGAUAAGCCUACGGAGUCUUCGGACUUCGCAGGAAAAGGUGGCCUCUGUAUACAAGCUAUCACUUCUGGAUGAGCCCGCGGCCCAUCAGCUAGUUGGCGGGGUAAUGGCCCACCAAGGCAACGACGGGUAGCUGGUCUGAGAGGACGAUCAGCCACACUGGAACUGAGACACGGUCCAGACUCCUACGGGUGGCAG
rnacentral:rRNA from 1 species